AGAGGUUGUUUAUGAAGACGAACCAGACGAUUCACAAACUGAAGAGGAACCUGUCAAUGGAGGCGCCUCAAAUGUGCAUGUAAUUGAACAGACGCCACAAACCAGCCGACCACAAUCUCAACUAAAGAGAAAAAAGGGGAAUGAAAUCGACUAUUUAGCAGAUGCCAGCAGAGCGAUAAAUGAAAUUGCUAAUGCAGUUGCACGCAAGAAGCCUGAUGUUAGCACUAUCAAGGCGGAUAGGAUUGAUGUCUUUCUUAAGUACAUUGAACCAAAAUUACGCCGCAUCAAGAAUGACGAUUUGUUAGAUAAAAUAGAAAGCGAUAUUGUACAUAUAAUUUCCAAGAAUUUCAAAUAAAAUCUGAGUGAUCCUAUA